rnacentral:misc_RNA from 1 species
GAUGAAGAACGUAGUAAAAUGCGAUAAGUAAUGUGAAUUGCAGAAUUCAGUGAAUCAUCGAAUCUUUGAACGCACAUUGCGCCCGCUGGUAUUCCGGCGGGCAUGCCUGUUCGAGCGUCAUUUCAACCCUCAAGCCCCCGGGUUUGGUGUUGGGGAUCGGCUCUGCCUUCUGGCGGUGCCGCCCCCGAAAUACAUUGGCGGUCUCGCUGCAGCCUCCAUUGCGUAGUAGCUAACACCUCGCAACUGGAACGCGGCGCGGCCAUGCCGUAAAACCCCAACUUCUGAAUGUUGACCUCGGAUCAGGUAGGAAUACCCGCUGAACUUAAGCAUAUCAAAAGCGGAGGA